CCAUCAGCUAUUCAAAAUACAAGCACACACACACACACAACACAUUAAAACCAAGUAUGACUAAAAGUGAAAAUUAUCCAAUUGUAGAAAUGGAAGAUUCUCUUUCAGUUUAAAAAAAAAAUUGCUGUGUGCUCCCUCCCUGCCCAAGCCCAAGAACAGACAGCAAAGGUUUCAUUGUGACAUCUUGGUCAUUUUAUGCUGUUGGUGAAUAAAAACGUUCUCUUGGUCCUGACACCAUGAUAACAUGAAGCAGAAAAAUAAAGUGAAGAGAUAGAGUGCCAAAUUUUUCCACAGUGGCUACAGGGCACUUCCAUGUAAACAGGACAACAGCAAGGGCACCAUUCAUUUUGUCACCCUGCAGAGUGCCUGUAUCAGAGGUGGGGGCUGAAUAAGCCAGCAGAAAUGAGAAGGGAAGAGUUAUCUGAAAUUAAAGAUGGGCCUUUUCUCUUUAGAUUUUUGCAAUGCAUCAUAACUGUAUUAUAGAACACGGAGCAGACUGGACCUGAAGAUCAUUAAUGAGGAUGUUCUCCAGAAAUCCUACUACCUAGUUGCUUCUACUCUGACAGUGACAGGUGAUGGAAAGGAAACCCAUUCUGAAAAUGUCGCUACUGAGCUUGAAGGCUUUCUGCAGACUUGUAGUAGAACAAUGGGAGGUUACCUUCUUCUAAGAGAGCCCUAGUGACUGGCUUGGAGUUCAGAGUCCCAAGGUUCUUCGUCCCGGGUUCACUUGCUAUGUUUCUAAUACAGCCUGCCACAUAUCAGGCUGCCCUACUUACUAACAUCUCUCACUCGCGCUUCAGCAAGCGGCGUGCUGUAAUAUAACUGGCCUCACCUCAGCUCUGGGGCACAAAUAUUCCUGUUAUUUUUCAUGUUCACUCUCUCACACGUGACUGGUACACCAGUAGUCUUCCUUUUCUCUAGAUCCCAACUGACUCUACUGGUAUCACAAAGGCUCUCAGCUUCUGGACUUCAACCCAACUGAUUGGCACAUCCCACCCCCCAGUCAUUUCAGCUUGGCACCAUCCUCUCACAGUCCCAUCUAGGAGGAGCCAUUACAACCUCAUCCUUUCAGGGCUCCAAGCUGUUCCCGGUGUAGCUAAUAUAUUUCAUUCUUACUGAGCUGGCCUCUUGAGCUCUCUCUCCAUUCUCUGCUUCUCUAUAAAUCAUACCGUUCUUAUUAUAAUUAGAUUUUGGUUUGGCUGUCAGGAAGUUUCCUUAAGGUGUUGUGGGCCAAUAAAUAUUAUGAGUAUUGUGUAAAUACUUAACACAAGCAUUUAAAAUGUAGUAACAAAACAAAAACGCAACUAGUGGGCUAAAUUUGGCCCAAAUGUUUGUUUUUCGGCCAUUUUCUUGUUUACUUUCUCAUGCUCUGACACCACAGUCCUUCACAUCUACUGAGCCCACACUAGAUCAUAACUGUAGUCAUCUUCUGUGUACCAACAUUAUGCUUCCAUCUACAAUGAAAGUGAAGGUGUUUGAACAGACAAAUCACAAGGCUGGGCAAAGUAUAUUACUACUCGGACGUCCUAAGGGAAAUAUCUUUGUUUUACUCAUCAAUCUUUCUUUAUUCUCUAAGGACAUCUCUUAGUCCCCACAGCAACUAUUUAAAACCUUUCCACUUUCCAAAAACACUACUCACUACCCUUCCUCAAUGUCUAUUUGCCUUCCAUGAGAAAGAAAGUUCAUUAAAUUGGAAGCAAUUUAAUUUCUUGCUUCCUCUCCAAAGUAAAACUUAGCUGCACCUAGACCUGCUCCUGUGUUCUCAUCUGCUUCUGUUGCACCUUCCCAGUCAAAGAAAAUUCUUUAAUCUGUGAACUGACCCCACUUUUAACCUCUUCCUGACCCUUCUACCCACCCCCCCUUUCUUUUUCAAGCUCCAUUUUGUUAGUGUUAAGUGGCCUUCCUGAAAGACACCUCACCAUACUUGCCUCACCCUCCCCAAAUGGCAAAGAUGCAAAGGAGCCAGCCACAUCCAUGGCUUCCAGUUUGUUUCUCAACCUGCUGUAAUUUAGUUUUCUUAUCAUUUUGUAUGUGUUGAAAGCUCCACAGGAGCACCCAAGGAGACCAACAAAGAAGCUGGGCCCAGAGGGGACUGCAGAGACUGACCAAUCAACCAAAGACCAUACAUAGAGAGGACCUAGACCACCUGCUCCGACAGCUAAGUCUUCAUCCCUCUCUUACAGAUCAGCUUCCUUCUUCCUGAAGAAUAUCUUUUAUUUAUUGUUUUCAAAGAGAGGAUCUUUUAAGUAGCAAGCUUCCUAGUCUUUCAAUAAAAGAGCGGCCAUGUGCAAUUAGCUGGAAGAAGUCCUGUGCAAUGCUUGGACCACGUUUUACCGUCUGUCUUAUUACACUGUAGAAAGAAGGACCGACAUAUGCUGUAAGAAGAAGUCAGAAGAAAUCUGAGCUUCCAGACUACCCCAUAACCUGUGAGAGUACGUACUGAGACUGGACCUGACGGCAGAGAAACUGGUGAAGCCGAUGUUGACUUUGCAACCCAUGAAGAUGCUGUUGCAGUUAUGUCAAAAGACAAAGCAAAUAUGCAACACAGAUACGCAGAGCUCUUCUUGAAUUCUACAGCGGGAGCAAGCGGUGGUGCUAUGGUAGCCAAAUGGGAGCCCUGGGCUUGUCAGGCCAGUCCAAGUAUGGUGGCCUAGCCAGCCAGGAGCUGAGUGGUGGUUACGAAGGUGGCUCUGGUGGCCAGAGCAGCAUGAGCGGAUAUGGGAGCCAAGGAGCAGUGAACAGCAGCUACUACAGUAGCGGAAGCCGCGCAGCUAUAGGCGUGAGUGGGAUGGGAGGGAUGUCUAGCAUGUCCAGUAUGAGUGGUGGAUGGGGAAUGGAAUUGAUUUUGAUCACUGACUCUUGACCAAUUUAAAAAAAAAAAAACCUUCAGUUUAACAGUUUUUGAAGUUUAACCUUGUGAAUAUUGGCAUCGCUCAAAAAACUGAGGUUCAAUGUUGAACACAGCAGUCACCUAGGAUGAAAGGGCAAAGUUGAGCUAGCUGUAACUUAACAAUUCCCAGUGUUUCUCUAGUUACUGUAGGAGGCAUGUAAGCAGUAUGUGUAUUUAGGUUAAAGCAGGGGAAUUAUGUUAAAUGUUCCUCUUAUACAUACAUUACAUUGAACACUGUUGAUGCAUGUUGAAAAGACAUGCUUUUUUGUAAAACUCAAUACAGGAGCUGUGUCUACAAUUAAAAGUAAGACAUUUGGCAUGUUUGUUAAUUCUAAUUUCAUUUGGUAACCUGUAAGGCACGUUUACAGGUUUAAAAAGUUUAAAGCUUUUUUUUUUUUUAAGUUAAUGGAGAAAUUUUGAGAUGCAAUAUCAUUACUUUAGGAUUUUUGGUCUUGGUGUUUGUAUGAAAUUCUAGGCCAUGAUUUAAGUCUUUCAUUGUAUUGUCAUUUUCUUUUAAGUGUAUUGCACUAAGUGAACCUUGUCAAAUAAAUCCUCCUUUUAAAAGCUAAAAUAAAAUAAAAUAAAUAAUAAUAGUAAUUUU